GAUGAACGCUGGCGGCGUGCUUAACACAUGCAAGUCGAACGGRRWWUAYWUWWWAGCUUGCUWWKKUKUAWWYYUAGUGGCGGACGGGUGAGUAACGCGUGGGUAACCUGCCUUAUACCGGGGGACAACAGUUGGAAACGACUGCUAAUACCGCAUAAGCGCACAGUCUCGCAUGAGACAGUGUGAAAAACUCCGGUGGUAUAAGAUGGACCCGCGUCUGAUUAGCCAGUUGGCGGUGUAACGGACCACCAAAGCGACGAUCAGUAGCCGGCCUGAGAGGGUGAACGGCCACAUUGGGACUGAGACACGGCCCAAACUCCUACGGGAGGCAGCAGUGGGGAAUAUUGCACAAUGGAGGAAACUCUGAUGCAGCGACGCCGCGUGAGUGAAGAAGUAUUUCGGUAUGUAAAGCUCUAUCAGCAGGAAAGAAAAUGACGUA
rnacentral:rRNA from 1 species